AUAAUAAAAUGCAAUUUGCUAUAGAGCUUUGCAAGAAAUGUGAGUGGAGUGUGGCGUUUGAAGGCGAGUAUUCUAUUGGUGCCUGCUGUGUACACUAUGCUAGAUGCAUUCCAUGUGUAAUUUCGUCCAUCCCUCUGCCAGGUAUAUGGAUUAAUUUGAUCAAAAGAGUUGGCUUCAGGCUCCCAUUGUUCUUCAUCAGCCAUCAACAAAAGCAUCAAUUUCAAAGUUGGUAUUGCUGAUUCCCUCUCCUUUAUUGGUAUUGAGCUCCACCAUCUUCAAGACGUGGCCUCCAGCGUUAUCACACAUGUCUGCUUCUGGCCAGUGGAGGAGAAAAAAAGGGCGAGGAAAGCGCAUCCUUUAAGCUCCGUGGCAUAGAAAUGAUUCUCCUCAGGUCUGCUCAUACUCCACUGGUGAGAGUGAGUCACAAGGCCUUGCUUAGAUGUUAGGGGAAAUGGGAAAUGACCCCGGCUAGCUUAGUCACCCUACCAUAGGUGAGGGGAAGCGGUAAUCAUUGGUUGACCUGUAGCUGUCUGAGCCACAGCAAUUUUUAACGCCAUUGAUAGAUCAUGGCAAAUAGUCAUCCUGAAUGAUUGUAUCCAUGUACCUAAUAAGUCAAAAUUCUUAUUUCUCAAAGCAGAGGCAAUGUAAUUAAAUAAAUAUUUGUUGGACCUUGUAAUAUUUCUUUGA
rnacentral:lncRNA from 1 species